rnacentral:rRNA from 12 species
AUUAAUCCUCAAACUUCUCCACAUCGACAUCGAUAAACUUGUCAAUAAAGUAUUCUCUUGACAGUUAUUAUAUCAAGACAAAGCAAACCAUGACGCUCCCAAAAUUGUACUAUUACAA